UCCUUAUCCUUGUUCUGUCGUUCCUUGUGUACAGUGUCGUGUAGUGGUUGAUUCCAAAGAAGUCAAAUGCCCCUUUUAUGGUUUUAGACAUCUCUGCUGUUAUCUCUGGUAGUCUCUCUUCCACUAGUCUCUUCAUUGAAGCUGGAUAGUCUCCAUUUAUUAGAGGAUCCAUAAACCUAUUUUCACAUCUCAUUCAGUUUCUUCUUUUACUUACUUUCUCUAAUGCAAAAUUUUCAUAUACAAAAGUGUAUCUUUAUUAUUUUACCAUCCGAUCCCAAAAUCCAUUGCCCUACGAGCUGCAUCUCUGUCCUCAUCACAAUCAGACAUUGGCUCAAACCAUUUUGCAUCUAACGACAUCCCUAUUCGACCACCUUGUUUCUUCUGCAUUUUUACAUUUCCCCACAUUAUAUUCUGUGGACCUAAGAUGUUCAUUUUUUCUGUUAUCUGUGUUCUUUACCUUGAAGUGUCUCUGGUAUGUGUGGUAAGCAGCGGCGUGAGACAAGAGAAUGUUAUGAGCUACAACAUAAGGCUCCACAGAUGACUUCCCUUCCUUACAGAACCAAUGUCCCAGAAGCGAGCACCUCCCUGGAGCCUGUAUCCCUGUGUCAUAGCCUUGGAUCGUUAGCCCGCGUGGCUCAUUGAAAGUGAUCCAGUACUUCACUCUGUCUCCGAAUGCUUUGAAACAGGUGAAUGCAUAACGCUCGAAAUCAUCCCUGCACACUUUUCUUAGCAUUUCAUUUUGUCUUCAUGAUCAGGAUUUAGCAUUUUACUUACACGACUUGUCUGCUCAGCCAUCCUUCAUAUCUGUCUUCUAAAGCUUGUGGGAGAUCCCAGUGAUACAAUGUCACAUAAGGUUUGAUUCCUUUGGCUAAAAGUGUGUCUAUGAGACUGUUGUAGUACUCAAGCCCAUCUGGGUUUACUUCCCCUGUUCCAUCUGUUCAAACCCAAGUUUAACAUACCUCUUAGGCUUAGCACAUCUUAAUGAAUUAGACUUACUAGGGAAUAUUCUAGUCCAAGAUAUAGAGAAUCUGUAAGCAUCCAUUCCCAGAUCUUUCAUAAGAUCUAUAUCACUCUGUGAAAGCAAAAAAAAAAAUCAGAAAAAGUGUUCUUGCUUGUUAGAUUCUCUCAUUUAUUUUUCCUGUUGCGUCUUAUCUUAGAUUUGUUUGGACAUGGUUGCUCUAUGGAGAAGCAACCUUAUUUUUUUAAUCUUCAAGUAUAAGUCAACUUAUGCUUCUAUUUUAGGUAAAACAUACAUACAUGGAAUCUAUGAUAUUGAUCAACCGUAGUAUCCGCAUUGCUGAAAUCCAAUAUCUUCCCUGUUGAUCAAUAACAAAUAAACAUUAAAAUUGGACUUUUCUGGGUUCUCUGUAACUUUUUGUUUGAUACCUGGUUUCUUGGUGAAAGUGUCCCAUAUGCUAUCUCCUUUGUUUCCUUCAUUCACAGCUCCUUCAAACUGGUUUAUUGCAAGAGAGUGUUGUGGUUUGAUCAAAAUAUUUGAUCAUUUGAAUCUUUCUUGAAUCAGUUUGUAGAAGAAGGAGAAGAAUGUCACCUGGUAAGCUGAAGAAGCUGUCCCGAACACAAACCCAUCUGGAAAACUCUCUCUGGUAAUAGAUUCCGAUGAAACUUGCUGACGAGACGCGAUGAAGAACAGAUACAUAACCAGGACGAGUCUCAUGAU
rnacentral:lncRNA from 1 species